GAUGAACGCUGACAGAAUGCUUAACACAUGCAAGUCAACUUGAAUUUGGGUUUUUAACUUAGAUUUGGGUGGCGGACGGGUGAGUAACGCGUAAAGAACUUGCCUCACAGCUAGGGACAACAUUUAGAAAUGAAUGCUAAUACCUAAUAUUAUGAUAAUAGGGCAUCCUAUAAUUAUGAAAGCUAUAUGCGCUGUGAGAGAGCUUUGCGUCCCAUUAGCUAGUUGGAGAGGUAACGGCUCACCAAGGCGAUGAUGGGUAGCCGGCCUGAGAGGGUGAUCGGCCACAAGGGGACUGAGACACGGCCCUUACUCCUACGGGAGGCAGCAGUGGGGAAUAUUGGACAAUGGACCAAGAGUCUGAUCCAGCAAUUCUGUGUGCACGAUGAAGUUUUUCGGAAUGUAAAGUGCUUUCAGUUGGGAAGAAAGAAAUGACGGUACCAACAGAAGAAGUGACGGCUAAAUACGUGCCAGCAGCCGCGGUAAUACGUAUGUCACGAGCGUUAUCCGGAUUUAUUGGGCGUAAAGCGCGUCUAGGUGGUUAUAUAAGUCUGAUGUGAAAAUGCAGGGCUCAACUCUGUAUUGCGUUGGAAACUGUAUAACUAGAGUACUGGAGAGGUAAGCGGAACUACAAGUGUAGAGGUGAAAUUCGUAGAUAUUUGUAGGAAUGCCGAUGGGGAAGCCAGCUUACUGGACAGAUACUGACGCUGAAGCGCGAAAGCGUGGGUAGCAAACAGG
rnacentral:rRNA from 1 species